rnacentral:tRNA from 1 species
GCCGCCUUAGCACAGCGGUAGUGCACCGCUUUCGUAAAGCGGGGGUCCGGGGUUCAAAUCCCCGAGGCGGCU